UUUUACAUUCACAAUUAGUUCUUUAUCAAUUACAUUUAUACUAAACUUUAUUUUGUGUGUUGUGAGGACAUCUACCAUUCAUAUUAGUGGUGUGUUGAUAAACCCGACAUUUCAAAAAGCAAACGAGCUGCAAAAUUGGCAUGAUUGUUUGAAAGCGCAAUUGCUGAAGAGAUGCAUGAAGUUGGAACUAUUGCUGCAAUUGAAAUUGAGGAAGACGCAAUAGAGGUGCAGAAAAAACACACGAAGAAAACAAGGGAUUGUGGAGACAAAGAAGACCCUCAUUCAAUAAUUUAUAAGAAAAUCAAAAUAGAAAAGGAUUAGGGAUUUAUUGUUUUUUGUCAUUCCAGUAGACAUUCAUUAUCUUUUUUAUGAGUAGAUUUCCCGUAGUCUUUAUUUAAUUCUCUUAUGAUAUUGUAGUAUACUUUCGUUAGUCUAUAAUAUGUUACUCCCUCCCUCCCAUAAUAA